AAAAAAAAUUAAAGUGGACAAAGGAACGGUCUAGGAUGGAGUAGUAGUCUGUGAAGUGACUACAACUCUAUGGACUAUCAAUAAAUGUCAAAGUAUUUGAAGACAACAAAACACAUAGUUUACAAACAUGUCUUCAUGAAAUCAUUAAAUGAAAUACAAAGAAAAUAAUAUGAACUAAAAUUCUCCAAGACAAAUGCACAAUAUGACAUAACCUCUUUAAGGUAAAUCUCCAACUACUCGCGCAUACGAAGUACGACAGAAGGAAAUAAUAAACGUACCUUAAAAUUCUAGGAAAAACCACCACAGGAUGACCGAGCGAUACACAACCAAACAAACAACACCAGCCGUUGAUGAAAUGUCCAGAUUAAAAGACCCAAUCCAUCAAUUGUCCGAUGUAAUAUUCAAAACGUGCUCGCGUUGCGGGCACGGACGUGUAAAAUUAUUAAUUUUUAAUAAAUUUUAUAACUGA